rnacentral:lncRNA from 1 species
ACCAUUCAGCAAGGAUUGAGAGCCCUUGGGACCCACCUGACCUGCCUGCCUGAGUUUGGGUGACCAUGCUUCUGUGUGGGCGGUGCCACUGCUGCCUGUCCCUUUCUCGGAGAGGCCUCACGGCCGAGGCGUGCGUUCUUUUUUCCCGGCACCGUCACCACCCGUGUUGUCCUCACUUGAAAGGUGGCCAUUUGAGAUCUACAGGACCGUGCCUAGUUCACAGAUGGGGCGGCCACUAACAUUCUUACGGUCUUCACCUUGCGCUAGAACUUUCCAGGUGUGUUCUUAAAGCUCUCAGGGGAGCCCUGGGCUGUCAGCACUCUCCUAUUGCCCCAUUUGACAGACCUGGAAGCCGAGGGGCAGAGGGCCCAAGUCUCUCGGCCCAGUCCCUGGCAGGACGAGGAGAGAGGGAGCUGGAACCCGGGUCUCCACACUCGCUCCAGCCCCUGCCCCACGUUCUCUCCCUUCAGGGUGAGACCUUUCUGUGCCCUUUCUACGUCACCUGGAGCCCGUGACGCCCGCUCAUCUGUCUGGCUGGAAUCGCCGCCUGGCCCCUCACCACGGUUAUUGCCUUUCGUGCCGAGUUGCCCGGGUUUGCUGUGUUAUUGGCUCGUUUUUCAUUCUGCAUCUGCAGUAGCCAGACUUGGAGAUGAAAAGCAUGUGGCGCCUAACCAUGAUGAAAGAGGGGCGCCUGCGAGUGCCUGAGCGUCUGAAAAGGACCUUUUAGAGGCGGAGGAGCAGAGGAGGAGAGUGACUGCGGGCUCAGCUGGCCCCGUGGCCCCGUGGCCCCGUGGUCUGGAUGGCGUGGCUGGAGUCUGGCCUCUCAGAGCCGAGGCUUCCCGAGCUGUGAGGCGAGAGAGAGAGAGAGAUUCACCUUGCAGAGUUCUACGGCGCGGCACGGAGCGGCCAUUCCAUAAGCAUCGUUGCCGUAGCUGUAAUAUGUUAUCACUAUAACGUAUAUCUAUGAGUCAUAAAAUAAUAGAACUAUUUUAUUUUGGAGAUCUCUUAGAAAACAUAAACAGGAGAAAGAACCAUGAAAUGGGUGACUUGAGAAUAGCUUCCGCUCCGAUAUUCAAUUACCCUUCCCGCUCUCUCCCCCUCUCUCUCCUUCUGCAAUUUGAUUAUUUCGGGGCCCACAAUGCACCUGUGCCAACAUCCCUGGGCCUCUCCUGAGGGCGCACACGAGUGAAAUAAACAGGCCUUGUCUGCGC